AAUAACUCAUGAGCUCAGCAAAAAAAAUCAGGAUAUAAAAGCAGCAAAUAAAGUGAAGAUACAUUCCUGCAAAAUAAUAACAAAUUACAUGUACAAAAUUAACAAAAUAAUCCCAUUUACACUAGCACCAAAAAUAAAUAUUUGGAUUAAAAUUUACUAACAAGAUGAAAUAUCUCCAGAAAAUGACCUAUACUGAUGUGUUUUUUGAAAUGCACCCAGAAAUUCAAAAAUAACUGUGCUUAGAACUUGAUAUAGUCAGAGGGCCAUAUACACAAACUGCUAUAGAAUUGUAGUGCAACACUCCUGUUGGCUUUAAAUACAAGAAAGUAAGUCUGGAGAUCGUUAUAUAGUGAGAGCACAUGCAAAUAGGGCCGUCUCUCCACUGAUUAAACCAGGCCAGUCACGACCCUGCAGCUGGGAGAGGAGCCCCAGCCCCAGGAUCCCCAGGUGACCCGAUUCAGUGAUCAGGACACAACACAGACAAACCACCAUGGAGUCUGUGCUCAGCUGGGUUUUCCUUGUCGCUAUUUUAAAAGGUGUCCAGGGUGAGGUGCAGCUGGUGGAGUCUGAGGGAGACCUGGUGAAGCCUGGGUGGGGGGGUUCCCUGAGACUAAUUCUCAAAUCUGAAAGAGGAAAACAAUAGAAUACCUGAACAAACCAAUAACGGUGAGGAGACUGAAACAGUUAUCAAAAAUUCCAAAGAAAUUGUAAGGCCAGAUGGCUUUCCAGGUGAAUUCUACCGAACAUUUAAAGAAAACACAUUUCCUCUUCUACUAAAUCUGAUUGAAAGGAUGGCAAGGAAAUGAAUACUUCUGAACUCUCUCUAUAAGACCAACAUUAUCAGGGUCCCCAAACAAAACAAAGCCCCUGCAAAGGAGAAAUAUAGACCAAUAUGCCUGAUGAACAUGGAUGCAAAAAUUAUCUCCAAAAUUUUAGCAAAUGGAAUCUAACAGUACAUCCAUUAUUCACCAGGACAAAGUGGGAAUAUCCCGUGUGCAAGGAUGGUUCAACAUUCAUGAAACAAUCAAUGUGAUAGAUCAUAUCAACAAAAGAAAAAAACAAGAAACAUGAUAUUCUCAAUACAUGCAGAGAAAGAAGUUGAGAAAGCACAGCAUCCAUUUGUGAUCGAAACUCUUCAUUGUAGGAUUAGAGUGAGCAUUCCUCAGGAUCCUAAAAGCCAUCUAUGGAAGUCCCACAGCAAAUAGCAUACCAAUGCGGAGAAACUGAGAGCCUCUCUCCUUAGAUAAAAAAGAGAGUGGUGUCAAUAUUCAAGAUUGUUAUUUAACAUAGUACUAGAAGCCCUGGACUCAGAAUUCAGAUAACCAAAGAAAAAAAAAAAGAAAAGAAAGAAAAAGAAAAGAGGGCUCAAAAAUUGUGAAAGCAAAAGUCAAACUCUUCCUCUUUGCAGAUGACAUGAUGAUGUAGGUAGAAAACCCAAGAGACUCCACCCCAAGAUUGGUAGAAAUAAUACAGCAAUUCACCAAUGUGGCAGGAUACAAAAUCAAUGCCCAGAAAUCAGUGGCAUUUCUAUACACUAACAACGUGACUGAAAAAAGAGAAAUUAAGGAGUCAAUCCCAUUUGCAAUUGCACCCAAGACUAUAAGAUACUUAGGAAUAAACCUAACCAAGGUUGUAAAGUAUCUAUACCCUAAAAACUGCAGAACACUUCUGAAAUAAUUUGCGGAAGACACAAAGAGAUGGAAAAAUAUUCCCUGCUUAUGGGUUGAAAGAAUUAAUAUUGUGAAAAUGUCAAUGCUACC
rnacentral:lncRNA from 1 species